UUAAAAAGGGGCGGCUAACUUCGUGCCAGCAGCAGCGGUAAUACGGGGGCCCCAAGCGUUAUCCGGUCUUAUUGGGCGUAAAGAGUUCUGUAGGCGGUGGAACAAGUUAUGGGUUAAACCCUUCGGCUCAACUGAAGGUUUGCUUGUAAUACUGUUUCACUAGAGAUAGAUAGGGGAGGGUGGAAUUCAUGGUGUAGCGGUGGAAUGCGUUGAUAUCAUGAGGAACACCGAAGGCGUAGGCAACCCUCUGGGUCUAUUCUGACGCUGAGAGACGAAAGCGUGGGUAGCAAAACGGAUUAGAUACCCGUGUAGUCCACGCUGUAAACGAUGUUCACUAGGUCCGUGUUCUCCUUUUGGGGGAUGCGAGCCGCAGCUAACGCGUUAAGUGAACCGCCUGGGAAGUACGGCCGCAAGGCUAAAACUCAAAGGAAUUGGCGGGGACCCGCACAAGCGGUGGAGCGCCUGCUUUAAUUCGAUGAUGAGCGAAAAACCUUACCGAGGUUUGACAUGAUUCUGCAUCCUGAUGGAAACAUUGGGAGUCCUUCGAGGGUGAAUCACAGGUAUUGCAUGGCUGUCGUCAGCUCGUGUCGUGAGAUGUACCGUUAAGUCGGGUAACGAGCGCAACCCUUAUUGUCAGUUGUAUCACUCUGGCGAAACUGCCCGGGCAACCGGGAGGAAGGUGAGGAUGACGACAAGUCGGCAUGGUCCUUAUGCCUCGGGCAAGACAGGCGCUACAAUGGCUAGUACAAUGGGUUUGCAACACAGCAAUGUGAAGCUAAUCUCUUAAAACUAGUCUCAGUUCGGAUUG
rnacentral:rRNA from 1 species